ACUAUUAAUUAGGGGAGCCACGGCUGAGAGGAUUGAUAUCGACCCUGUAACCUGAUCAAGGUAAUGCUUGCGUAGGUAGUCUUUUUUUGUGCUCU
rnacentral:ncRNA from 1 species